rnacentral:rRNA from 1 species
GUGUCAGCAGCCGCGGUAAUACGUAGGGGGCAAGCGUUGUCCGGAUUUAUUGGGCGUAAAGAGCGUGUAGGCGGCCAGGUAGGUCCGCUGUGAAAACUCGAGGCUCAACCUCGAGACGUCGGCGGAAACCCUCUGGCUAGAGUCCGGGAGAGGAGAGUGGAAUUCCUGGUGUAGCGGUGAAAUGCGCAGAUAUCAGGAAGAACACCCGUGGCGAAGGCGGCUCUCUGGAACGGUACUGACGCUGAGACGCGAAAGCGUGGGGAGCGAACAGGAUUAGAAACCCUUGUAGUCC